CCUACGGGAGGCAGCAGUGAGGAAUUUUCGUCAAUGGGCGCGAGCCUGACCCAGCCAAGUAGCGUGAAGGAUGACUGCCCUACGGGUUGUAAACUUCUUUUUUAAAGGAAUACAGUGAGGCAAGUGUGCCUUUUUGUCUGUACUUUAUGAAUACGGAUCGGCUAACUCCGUGCCAGCAGACGCGGUACUACGGAGGAUCCGAGCGUUAUCCGGAUUUAUUGGGUUUAAAGGGAGCGUAGAUGGGUUGUUAAGUCAGUUGUGAAAGUUUGCGGCUCAACCGUAAAAGUGCAAUGGAUACUGGCAGUCUUGAGUACAGAUGAGGUAGGCGGAAUUCGUGGUGUAGCGGUGAAAUGCUUAGAGAUCACGAAGAACUCCGAUUGCGAAGGCAGCUUACUAAACUGCCACUGACAUUGAUGCUCGAAAGUGUGGGGAUCAAACAGGAUUAGAUACCCCAGUAGUC
rnacentral:rRNA from 1 species